UAAGUUAAUAAGGGCGCACGGUGGAUGCCUUGGCACUAGGAGCCGACGAAGGACGUGACAAACGAAGAUAUGCCUUGGGUAGCUGUAAGUAAGCGAUGAUCCAGGGAUUUCCGAAUGGGGGAACCCAACAGGUAAUACCUGUUACCUACAUCUGUUAAGGAUGUGAGGAGGAAGACGCAGUGAACUGAAACAUCUAAGUAGCUGCAGGAAGAGAAAGCAAAAGCGAUUGCCUUAGUAGCGGCGAGCGAAACGGCAGAAGGGCAAACCGAAGAGUUUACUCUUCGGGGUUGUAGGACUGCAAUGUGGACUCAAAGAUUAUAGAAGAAUGAUUUGGGAAGAUCAGCCAAAGAGAGUAAUAGCCUCGUAUUUAAAAUAGUCUUUGUACUUAGCAGUAUCCUGAGUACGGCGGGACACGUGAAACUCCCGUCGGAAUCUGGGAGGACCAUCUCCCAACCCUAAAUACUCCCUAGUGACCGAUAGUGAACCAGUACCGUGAGGGAAAGGUGAAAAGCACCCCGGGAAGGGGAGUGAAAUAGAACCCUGAAACCGUGUGCCUACAACAAGUUCGAGCCCGUUAAUGGGUGAGAGCGUGCCUUUUGUAGAAUGAACGGCGAGUUACGUUAUGAUGCGAGGUUAAGUUGAAGAGACGGAGCCGUAGGGAAACCGAGUCUGAAUAGGCGCCUUAGUAUCAUGACGUAGACCCGAAACCAUGUGACUACCCAUGAGCAGGUUGAAGGUGCGGUAAGACGCACUGGAGGACCGAACCAGGGCACGUUGAAAAGUGCUUGGAUGACUUGUGGGUAGCGGAGAAAUUCCAAACGAACUUGGAGAUAGCUGGUUCUCUCCGAAAUAGCUUUAGGGCUAGCGUCGACAUUAGAGAUUCUUGGAGGUAGAGCACUGUUUGGGUGAGGGGUCCAUCCCGGAUUACCAAUCUCAGAUAAACUCCGAAUGCCAAUGAAUUAUGGUCGGCAGUCAGACUGCGAGUGCUAAGAUCCGUAGUCAAGGGAAACAGCCCAGACCACCAGCUAAGGUCCCAAAAUAAUUGUUAAGUGGAAAAGGAUGUGGGGUUGCACAGACAACUAGGAUGUUAGCUUAGAAGCAGCUAUUCAUUCAAAGAGUGCGUAAUAGCUCACUAGUCGAGUGACCCUGCGCCGAAAAUGUACCGGGGCUAAAACAAUUUACCGAAGCUGUGGAUACCUUUAUAGGUAUGGUAGGAGAGCGUUCUAUGUGUGAUGAAGGUAUACCGUGAGGAGUGCUGGAACGCAUAGAAGUGAGAAUGCCGGUAUGAGUAGCGAAAGACAGGUGAGAAUCCUGUCCACCGUAAGACUAAGGUUUCCAGGGGAAGGCUCGUCCGCCCUGGGUUAGUCGGGACCUAAGGAGAGACCGAAAGGUGUAUCCGAUGGACAACAGGUUGAUAUUCCUGUACUAGAGUAUGUAGUGAUGGAGGGACGCAGUAGGCUAACUAAAGCAGACGAUUGGAAGAGUCUGUCUAAGCAGUGAGGUGUGAAUUGAGUCAAAUGCUUAAUUCUAUAACAUUGAGCUGUGAUGGGGAGCGAAGUUUAGUAGCGAAGUUAGUGACGUCACACUGCCAAGAAAAGCUUCUAGCGUUUAAACAUACUCUACCCGUACCGCAAACCGACUACAGGUAGUCGAGGCGAGUAGCCUCAGGUGAGCGAGAGAACUCUCGUUAAGGAACUCGGCAAAAUGACCCCGUAACUUCGGGAGAAGGGGUGCUGACUUUAAGUCAGCCGCAGUGAAUAGGCCCAAGCAACUGUUUAUCAAAAACACAGCUCUCUGCUAAAUCGUAAGAUGAUGUAUAGGGGGUGACGCCUGCCCGGUGCUGGAAGGUUAAGAGGAGUGCUUAGCGUAAGCGAAGGUAUGAAUUGAAGCCCCAGUAAACGGCGGCCGUAACUAUAACGGUCCUAAGGUAGCGAAAUUCCUUGUCGGGUAAGUUCCGACCCGCACGAAAGGCGUAAUGAUUUGGGCACUGUCUCAACGAGAGACUCGGUGAAAUUUUAGUACCUGUGAAGAUGCAGGUUACCCGCGACAGGACGGAAAGACCCCAUGGAGCUUUACUGCAGUUUGAUAUUGAGUGUCUGUACCACAUGUACAGGAUAGGUAGGAGUCUAAGAGAUCGGGACGCCAGUUUCGAAGGAGACGCUGUUGGGAUACUACCCUUGUGUUAUGGCCACUCUAACCCAGAUAGGUGAUCCCUAUCGGAGACAGUGUCUGACGGGCAGUUUGACUGGGGCGGUCGCCUCCUAAAAGGUAACGGAGGCGCCCAAAGGUUCCCUCAGAAUGGUUGGAAAUCAUUCGCAGAGUGUAAAGGUAUAAGGGAGCUUGACUGCGAGAGCUACAACUCGAGCAGGGACGAAAGUCGGGCUUAGUGAUCCGGUGGUUCCGUAUGGAAGGGCCAUCGCUCAACGGAUAAAAGCUACCCUGGGGAUAACAGGCUUAUCUCCCCCAAGAGUUCACAUCGACGGGGAGGUUUGGCACCUCGAUGUCGGCUCGUCGCAUCCUGGGGCUGUAGUCGGUCCCAAGGGUUGGGCUGUUCGCCCAUUAAAGCGGCACGCGAGCUGGGUUCAGAACGUCGUGAGACAGUUCGGUCCCUAUCCGUCGCGGGCGUAGGAAAUUUGAGAGGAUCUGCUCCUAGUACGAGAGGACCAGAGUGGACUUACCGCUGGUGUACCAGUUGUCUUGCCAAAGGCAUCGCUGGGUAGCUAUGUAGGGAAGGGAUAAACGCUGAAAGCAUCUAAGUGUGAAACCCACCUCAAGAUGAGAUUUCCCAUGAUUAUAUAUCAGUAAGAGCCCUGAGAGAUGAUCAGGUAGAUAGGUUAGAAGUGGAAGUGUGGCGACACAUGUAGCGGACUAAUACUAAUAGCUCGAGGACUUAUCCA
rnacentral:rRNA from 1 species